GGAAAAGGAUUCUUCACCUGGAAGUUCAUCAACAAGCUUGUUGAUAAAAAAGCAAAGAGAGACUUCAGACACGCCGAUCAUGAGAGCUUUAAAAGAACUUGAUGAGGGAAAAAUAUUUAAAAAUUGGGGGACACAGACAGAGAAAGAGGACACCUCAAAUAUAAAUCCUCGGCAAACUGAAACUUCAGUUAAUGCAAGUCGUUCUCCAGAAAAGUGUGCCCAACAGAGACAAAAGAGACUUAAUUCGGCCUCACAGAGAUCAUCAUCUUUACCACCUUCAAAUCGUAAAUCAAGUACUCCAACAAAAAGAGAGAUUAUGCUAACACCAGUGACUGUGGCUUAUAGUCCAAAGCGAUCCCCUAAAGAAAACUUGUCCCCAGGAUUUAGUCAUCUGCUUAGCAAAAAUGAGAGCAGUCCAAUUCGGUAAGUUCUCUAAAAUUGUAGAAUAAAGUUUACUAUAUUAGUGAUUUUUUUCUAAAUGUUGACUUAUGUCUCUAGCUAUCACUAAUUUUUCAGUUACCAGUGGGAACUCUGUGAAUUUCAUUUAAAUCAUAAGUGAAUGUCAUACUACAACUAAAGUACUGCAGUACAAUGAACACAGUUUUUAACUAUGUAAACUUGCUACUACUAGAUUUUAAAUUAUCACCUCAGCACCCCUGUCAGC
rnacentral:lncRNA from 1 species